ensembl:snRNA U6 U6 spliceosomal RNA
GUGCUUGCUUCAGCAGCACAUACACUAAAAUUGAAAAAACACAGAGGAGAUUAGCAUGGCCCCUGCUCAAAGAUGUCAUACAAAUUGGUGAAGUGUUCUAUAUUUUU